GAUGAACGCUGGCGGCGUGCCUAAUACAUGCAAGUCGAGCGAACGGACGAGAAGCUUGUGUCUCUGAUGUUAGCGGCGGGCGGGUGAGUAACACGUGGAUAACCUACCUAUAAGACUGGAUAACUUCGGGAAACCGGAGCUAAUACCGGAUGAAAUUUUGAACCGCAUGGUUCAAAAGGGAAGGUCGGUCUGGCGGGCACUUAUAGGUGGAUCCUCGCUGCGUUAGCUAGUUGGUAAGGUAACGGCUUACCAAGGCAACGAUGCAUAGCCGACCUGAGAGGGUGAUAGGCCACACUGGAACGGGGACACGGUCCAUACGCCUACGAGACGCAGCAGUAGCGAAUCUUCCGCAAUGGGCGAAAGCCUGACGGAGCGACGCCGCGUGAGUGAUGAAGGUCUCCGGAUCGUAAAACUCUGUUAUGAGGGAAGAACAUAUGUGUCAGUAACUGUGCACAUCUUGACGGUACCGAAUCAGAAAGCCACGGCUAACUACGUG
rnacentral:rRNA from 1 species